AACGAACGCUGGCGGCAUGCCUAACACAUGCAAGUCGAACGAGACCUUCGGGUCUAGUGGCGCACGGGUGCGUAACGCGUGGGAAUCUGCCCUUGGGUCCGGAAUAACUCAGAGAAAUUUGAGCUAAUACCGGAUGAUGACGUAAGUCCAAAGAUUUAUCGCCCAAGGAUGAGCCCGCGUAGGAUUAGCUAGUUGGUGAGGUAAAGGCUCACCAAGGCGACGACCUU
rnacentral:rRNA from 1 species